rnacentral:rRNA from 1 species
GGAUAACUACCGGAAACGGUAGCUAAUACCCGAUACAUCCUUUUCCUGCAUGGGAGAAGGAGGAAAGGCGGAGCAAUCUGUCACUUGUGGAUGGGCCUGCGGCGCAUUAGCUAGUUGGUGGGGUAAAGGCCUACCAAGGCGACGAUGCGUAGCCGACCUGAGAGGGUGAUCGGCCACACUGGGACUGAGACACGGCCCAGACUCCUACGGGAGGCAGCAGUAGGGAAUCUUCCGCAAUGGGCGAAAGCCUGACGGAGCAACGCCGCGUGAGUGAUGAAGGUUUUCGGAUCGUAAAGCUCUGUUGCCAGGGAAGAACGCUUUGUAGAGUAACUGCUCUUGAAGUGACGGUACCUGAGAAGAAAGCCCCGGCUAACUACGUGCCAGCAGCCGCGGUAAUACGUAGGGGGCAAGCGUUGUCCGGAAUUAUUGGGCGUAAAGCGCGCGCAGGCGGCUCUUUAAGUCUGGUGUUUAAUCCCGAGGCUCAACUUCGGGUCGCACUGGAAACUGGGGAGCUUGAGUGCAGAAGAGGAGAGUGGAAUUCCACGUGUAGCGGUGAAAUGCGUAGAGAUGU